ACACUCCUGCGGGAGGCAGCAGUGGGGAAUAUUGCACAAUGGGCGCAAGCCUGAUGCAGCCAUGCCGCGUGUGUGAAGAAGGCCUUCGGGUUGUAAAGCACUUUCAGCGGGGAGGAAGGCAAUGCGGUUAAUAACCGUGUUGAUUGACGUUACCCGCAGAAGAAGCACCGGCUAACUCCGUGCCAGCAGCCGCGGUAAUACGGAGGGUGCAAGCGUUAAUCGGAAUUACUGGGCGUAAAGCGCACGCAGGCGGUCUGUCAAGUCGGAUGUGAAAUCCCCGGGCUCAACCUGGGAACUGCAUUCGAAACUGGCAGGCUUGAGUCUUGUAGAGGGGGGUAGAAUUCCAGGUGUAGCGGUGAAAUGCGUAGAGAUCUGGAGGAAUACCGGUGGCGAAGGCGGCCCCCUGGACAAAGACUGACGCUCAGGUGCGAAAGCGUGGGGAGCAAACAGGAUUAGAAACCCGUGUAGUCCCA
rnacentral:rRNA from 1 species